rnacentral:rRNA from 1 species
AAGCUCGUAGUUGAAUUUCGGGGUUCUACCGUUGGUCGGGCUAACCAGUCUGUACUAGCGUGUAGAAUUCCUACCUUCUGGGGAACCACUAUGUUAUUAAUUUAGCGUGGUGGGAAACCAGGACUUUUACCUUGAAAAAAUUAGAGUGUUCAAAGCAGGCUUACGUCUGAAUACAUUAGCAUGGAAUAAUAAAAUAGGACGGUGGUCCUGUUUUAUUGGUUUCUGAAUCACCGUAAUGAUUAAUAGGGAUAGUUGGG